UACGGAGGGGGCUAGCGUUGUUCGGAAUUACUGGGCGUAAAACGCGCGUAGGCGGAUCUGCAAGUCGGGGGGUGAAAUCCCGAGGCUCAACCUCGGAACUGCCUUCGAUACUGCGGGUCUCGAGUCCGGGAGAGGUGAGUGGAAUUCCUAGUGUAGAGGUGAAAUUCGUAGAUAUUAGGAAGAACACCAGUGGCGAAGGCGGCUCACUGGCCCGGUACUGACGCUGAGGCGGCGAAAAGCGUUGGGGAGCAAACAGG
rnacentral:rRNA from 1 species